AGUAUAGCAUCUAUACUGUGAAACUGCGAAUGGCUCAUUAAAUCAGUUAUCGUUUAUUUGAUAGUACCUUACUACUUGGAUAACCGUGGUAAUUCUAGAGCUAAUACAUGCUAAAAACCCCGACUUCGGAAGGGGUGUAUUUAUUAGAUAAAAAACCAAUGCCCUUCGGGGCUCCUUGGUGAUUCAUGAUAACUUAACGAAUCGCAUGGCCUUGCGCCGGCGAUGGUUCAUUCAAAUUUCUGCCCUAUCAACUUUCGAUGGUAGGAUAGUGGCCUACCAUGGUAUCAACGGGUAACGGGGAAUUAGGGUUCUAUUCCGGAGAGGGAGCCUGAGAAACGGCUACCACAUCCAAGGAAGGCAGCAGGCGCGCAAAUUACCCAAUCCCGACACGGGGAGGUAGUGACAAUAAAUACUGAUACAGGGCUCUUUUGGGUCUUGUAAUUGGAAUGAGUACAAUUUAAAUACCUUAACGAGGAACAAUUGGAGGGCAAGUCUGGUGCCAGCAGCCGCGGUAAUUCCAGCUCCAAUAGCGUAUAUUAAAGUUGUUGCAGUUAAAAAGCUCGUAGUUGAACCUUGGGCCUGGCUGGCCGGUCCGCCUCACCGCGUGUACUGGUCCGGCCGGGCCUUUCCUUCUGGGGAUCCGCAUGCCCUUCACUGGGUGUGUCGGGGAACCAGGACUUUUACUUUGAAAAAAUUAGAGUGUUCAAAGCAGGCCUUUGCUCGAAUACAUUAGCAUGGAAUAAUAGAAUAGGACGUGCGGUCCUAUUUUGUUGGUUUCUAGGACCGCCGUAAUGAUUAAUAGGGAUAGUCGGGGGCAUCAGUAUUCAAUUGUCAGAGGUGAAAUUCUUGGAUUUAUUGAAGACUAACUACUGCGAAAGCAUUUGCCAAGGAUGUUUUCAUUAAUCAGUGAACGAAAGUUAGGGGAUCGAAGACGAUCAGAUACCGUCGUAGUCUUAACCGUAAACUAUGCCGACUAGGGAUCGGGCGAUGUUAUUCUUUUGACUCGCUCGGCACCUUACGAGAAAUCAAAGUCUUUGGGUUC
rnacentral:rRNA from 1 species